UACGAAUGGAGCGAGCGUUGUUCGGAAUCACUGGGCGUAAAGGGUGCGCAGGCGGUUAUGAAAGUUAGAAGUGAAAGCCCAGGGCUUAACCCUGGAAUUGCUUUUAAAACUCCAUAACUUGAGUACUGGAGAGGUUGGCGGAAUUCCGAGUGUAGCAGUGAAAUGCGUAGAUAUUCGGAGGAACACCGAUGGCGUAGGCAGCCAACUGGACAGUUACUGACGCUCAUGCACGAAAGCGUGGGGAUCAAAC
rnacentral:rRNA from 1 species